rnacentral:lncRNA from 1 species
AAAAUUGAUGUCAAACCACUUCGUGCCGGUUUCAAGAUCCAUACCAAAUACUUCAAAGGAAAGCUACACCAUUGUAGUAUCCACGCUCAGAUAAUGUUAUAAAGUUCUCACAUGCCAUGGUCCAUGUAAGCGCAAUUUGCGCACAGAAAUGUUGGGAGCGCAUAGCAGAUUUACUCUGUACCAAGUAUAUGCAAAAGUAUAUUAUAUACAUGCAAAUCGAUGCAUGGAAAUAUGCUAACAAAGGGCAACUCAAGUAAGACAAACAUUUGCUACUGGAUAAAUAAUCCUUUAGGAUUUCUUGAUUGCCUGACUUUUUUAAUGUUUUCCGCAUUAUUAGUCGUUGAGAGAUCAUAUGUAUUACACUUUCCGUUGCUCCCUUCUUAUUAUUGUAAUUAACUAUUUGUCUUUCAGCAGUAAAAUUUAAGUGUGCUCUGAAACUAAAAUAUACUUGGUCCUUAAUAUGCUGUUAGAAAUAAGGUAUCAAACUGACCAUGUAAGAACUGAACUUUACAAAUUGGAUAUUAACAAAAAGGAAAACUGAAUUCAUAUAUGGAAAUAUGUUUCUAGCGACACCCCAAGUUGCUCUCUUAUCAAGAAAACAAUUCCAUUUGGCCAAGCAGAAAACUGUAUAAAUUUCAUACAGUGAAUUCAGAAAGAAAAAAAAAAGGUUUAAAACUACAAUUUGUGUUUCCAACUUUGUUUGAACUUAUCAAAUUCGCAUAUGAAUCAACUAGACCUGACCCUAAUAUGUUCAAUCUACUGUAUAAAGGAAAACAAAUUAACUCAUCUGAUGUGUAUGCUUUUAGCUCAAUUAAAGUAGCAGACCUUUAUAGGAUGAGUUUCAUUGCAAGUGAUGAUGCUACCAGUGGACAGCUGAAUCUUCCCGGCCGAUUCAUGAUCUUCAAGGUAAAUUAGCCACCAUCAAACUGUUCUGCUCAGCUUCAAGAAUCAUCUCGAGUAAGGUACUUGUGGACGAGGGUUGUCUCGUGAGGUUUUGCAGUGGAUAUACCCACAAAAUUUAUGGUAUAGAAUGGUGAUGUAUUUUUUCUCGGAGUUAAAAUGCUAAGUUCAUGCUCAUAUGUCAAAUCAAAUGAUCCGUCAAGCUAUGCAAAAGACUAUACAUUAUUUCUGAAAAUAGACAUUAUCCACUAUUAAUCUUAUCUUGGAGUGUGUUGUGUGUGCUUAGCCAUAUAAUGCAACUCUCUUAUCGAAGCAAUGGAAUUCCU